CGGUAUUGACUUUGGGGAUGUGUCUGAGCGAAAAGAACUAAGAAAACGGCUGAAUUGUAAACCUUUCAAGUGGUACCUGGACAAUGUGUAUCCACUGCUGGAUAGCUGGGACGAUAUCCUGGCCUAUGGAGGACUGAAGAACCUCGAUGCCAACAUGUGUGUAGACCAAGGUCCAGUUCCAGGCCACACACCGAUUGCAUAUCACUGCUACUACUAUAUGCCUCAAUACACAUAUUUCCGAGGGACUGGUGAGCUUUACAUUGGUGGGAUCAAGUCCCAUAAGUACAAUGCUAAUCGCUGUUUGACGGACAGUGGUAACAAUGACAACGAGCCUGGCCUGAACGACUGCCACGAUGCUCUUCAGAAACAAAUUGCAAUUUACUGGGACUUCACCCAGGGUAAAGAAUUGAAGAACAAACAGACAGGGAGAUGUUUGGAAAUUGUAAAGGGCAAACUCUUGUUACAAGAAUGUACAGGCCAAAGAUGGGAAAUCCAAAAUGUUAUCAAACCUUUCUAAUAUAUGUCGUCAAUGUGGACUGCAACUACAUUGAUGAUCAUUAAUAAGCCAAUUUACAAAAGUCCAUUUACUACUAUCCACUAUGCUGUAUGCCAAUGUAUAACCUUUUUUUAUAAUACUCUUAUGUAACUUUGACACAAAGAAAGAAUGUAAAUUUUUCUAUGAAUAUAUAAUACAUUUCCAAAAACACUGUAAUCUCUUUUUAAACAGAUGAUUUGUUUCAGUUAAAAAGUGCCUUAUAUUGUUGAAAUGUUUGUAUUUGCUAUAAAGCUGUAACAAGCGAUGUGAUAAUUGGUGAACCUAUCUUGAAAAGCUGGGGGCUUUCCAGCUUCAAGCAAACCGUGGCUAUGGGGUCCAUAAAGGUAGCACCUGUCUGAGUCAGAACCAAUGAUAUUGCAGACGCUCACAUGCCUUUUCCUAAAGGAGGAGUUUAAGUUGGGAUAGAAGACAAUAUUUUCUUGCUCUAUUUUAGGGGCUCCAUGGGACAUCUACUUUUUUUAUUAAAUGUAUUGAUUCUUCGGUAAACCUAACUUGAUUGAA